UCUGCCCUGCAGCACUGAGAUCU
rnacentral:miRNA from 1 species